rnacentral:rRNA from 1 species
UCGAGGGGUAUAGGUUUUCGGACCUAGAGACCGGCGCACGGGUGCGUAACGCGUAUGCAAUCUACCUUUCACAGAGGGAUAGCCCAGAGAAAUUUGGAUUAAUACCUCAUAGUAUAAUGAGUUGGCAUCAACACAUUAUUAAAGUCACAACGGUGAAAGAUGAGCAUGCGUCCCAUUAGCUUGUUGGUAAGGUAACGGCUUACCAAGGCUACGAUGGGUAGGGGUCCUGAGAGGGAGAUCCCCCACACUGGUACUGAGACACGGACCAGACUCCUACGGGAGGCAGCAGUGAGGAAUAUUGGACAAUGGGCGCAAGCCUGAUCCAGCCAUGCCGCGUGCAGGAUGACGGUCCUAUGGAUUGUAAACUGCUUUUGCACAGGAAGAAACAACUCUACGUGUAGAGUCUUGACGGUACUGUGAGAAUAAGGAUCGGCUAACUCCGUGCCAGCAGCCGCGGUAAUACGGAGGAUCCAAGCGUUAUCCGGAAUCAUUGGGUUUAAAGGGUCCGUAGGCGGUUUAGUAAGUCAGUGGUGAAAGCCCAUCGCUCAACGGUGGAACGGCCAUUGAUACUGCUAAACUUGAAUUAUUAGGAAGUAACUAGAAUAUGUAGUGUAGCGGUGAAAUGCUUAGAGAUUACAUGGAAUACCAAUUGCG